ensembl:rRNA 5S_rRNA 5S ribosomal RNA
GUCUACGGCCAUAGCAUCCUGAAUGCACGAGAUCUUGUGAAGCUAAGCAGGGUUGGUCCUGGGUAGUACUUGGAUGGGAGACCGCCUGGAAAUACGGGGUGCUGUAGGCU